CUACGGGUUGCUGCAGUGGGGAAUUUUGGACAAUGGGCGCAAGCCUGAUCCAGCCAUGCCGCGUGUGUGAAGAAGGCCUUCGGGUUGUAAAGCACUUUCGGCCGGAACGAAAUCGCCCGUGUUAACAGCGCGGGUGGAUGACGGUACCGGAAGAAGAAGCACCGGCUAACUACGUGCCAGCAGCCGCGGUAAUACGUAGGGUGCGAGCGUUAAUCGGAAUUACUGGGCGGAAAGGGUGCGCAGGCGGCUCCGCAUGUCGGGCGUGAAAUCCCCGGGCGUAACCUGGGAAUUGCGUCCGAAACUACCGGGCUGGAGUGUGGCAGAGGGAGGUGGAAUUCCACGUGUAGCGGUGAAAUGCGUAGAGAUGUGGAGGAACACCGAUGGCGAAGGCAGCCUCCUGGGCCAACACUGACGCUCAUGCACGAAAGCGUGGGGAGCAAACAGGAUUAGAUACCCCAGUAGUC
rnacentral:rRNA from 1 species